CCCUCAUGCUCGCCACCACCUCCCUCCCCAGCCUCUAUAGCCCAUGCUCUCCUGGUUUGGCUCCUAGCUCCCUGAAAUCCUCUACUCAUCACACCCAGGAAAAAAAGGAACUGGGGGAAUGUCUACAAAAUAAGUGGCUUUUAAGUUUCAAAAGUGUUAAUAUCAUGAAAGCCAAGCAAAACUGAGCAACUGUUCCAGACUGGCUGAAACUAAGGAGAUAACAACUAACUGCAACGCACAUCUAGACAGGCUCCCAUGCCACAGAGGAGGUUCCUGGGACCCUGGCAAACUUGAAUGGAAUCUGAGUAUUAAAGGAGAGAUCUGGGAUGGAAAACAGUUUGAAAAGAAUAAAAUCUGAAGACCUAGAGGACUUGAUAGAAUACCUGAGUUUAAGAAUGACUACAAAGCCAAGACAGUGUGGUACUGGAAUAAAGACAGACAUAUAUCUGAAUGGAAUAGAAUAGAGUCUAAAAUUUUAGGUCCGCAUUAUAUGGUCAGUUGAUUUUCAACAAAGUACACAGGUGAUUUAAUCAAGGAAAGUCUUUUCAGUAAAUGACUGGAACAACUGGAAAUACAUUUAGGAAAAAAAAAAAAAGACCCUCAUCUCUAUCUCAUACCCUAUACAAAAACU